GCUGCUGCCUUCUGGCCCUGGCCUUCCUGCUGUUCCCGGGGCAGCUGGCUCAGGGCAAGGCAGGGCCCUGGUCUCCCUUCAGCUCCCUUCCGCCACCGCAAGUCCUCCGGCCAAAGCAGCAGGCGAUGAUGUACCGCCAGGCAGUCCAAGCCCACAAGCUGGUCCUGGAUUACUUGAAUCGGAAGCACAACGCCACCUUUUACCGGGCACCAGGAAUGAAAACCCACGUCACGAUAGACAUGGUGUUUGGGCAUGCCUACCACGUGAAUACCCUGCUGGUGAGCGCAAAAUGCCCAGAAGGCUACACCGACGUGGAUCCCACCAACUGUGAGAUGGCACCUGAUGCUCCGAAAAUGGAGUGCAAUGUGUUGGUUGUCUUCCUUUUUGAGAAUGAACACCCCCACAUUAGCGAGGUCAGUUGCCGGGAGUUCCAAGGGCCAUUGGCAAACCUGACCGCCGCUGCGGAAAAAGAAGAGGAGGAGGAGGAGGAGGAGGAAGAUGAAACAGAAGAGACGCCUUGCAUCUGAGGGCCGAAAGGAGAGGGGUUCCUCCUUCUCCCUGUAACUGGGCACAUUCACACCUGACAUUUCUGUCCUUAAGGCAUCCCUGAGAAGCCCGGCAGGGAUUCCCCUGCCUGUCGGAGGCAGGCACGGUCUCUUCAGAGAACUAAAGGUUGGCAUGAGGCAUAGAGUUGGCGUGAGGCUUGUGCUUUUUUUCUUCUGGGGGUGAAAGGAAAAGCAGUAAGACCUACGGAAGCCAUAAUGUGACUGGUGCUCAAGAAAUACGUCUGCCCUCCCUCCCUCCCCCCUUGGCCUCUCGGGGACACAUUCCCAGCAAAAUGCUCUGUACAUGAUCACAGAGCACAGAUUUCUGACUCCUGUCCUCUGAAGAGGCCCAUGGCCACAGAGACUGGCGAAAUGUUAGGAAGAAAAACCUUCCAGAACACGGCCAAAGAGCCCGGAAAACCCACAACCACCAGACACUUUCUCCCCUCCCUCCCCACAGACCAGGCUGGUCUUGCAAGGAAAAAGCCCUGCCAAGCACAGGUGUGAAUAAGGGUGGCCAUUCCUGCAUCUUUUCACCUGUUAAAACUAGACAGGCUGCUUCGACCAUCUUUGGCUGCAGGUUUUAGCCUUGUUUUCAAUCGAAAA
rnacentral:lncRNA from 1 species